rnacentral:rRNA from 1 species
UACGUAGGGUGCGAGCGUUGUCCGGAAUUACUGGGCGUAAAGAGCUCGUAGGUGGUUUGUCGCGUUGUUCGUGAAAACUCACAGCUUAACUGUGGGCGUGCGGGCGAUACGGGCAGACUGGAGUACUGCAGGGGAGACUGGAAUUCCUGGUGUAGCGGUGGAAUGCGCAGAUAUCAGGAGGAACACCAAUUGCGAAGGCAGCUCGCUGGGCCGAUACUGACGCUGAGGAGCGAAAGCGUGGGGAGCGAACAGG